AAAAACUUACAUGUAUUUUUGGAAUUUUAGUUUGAGUUACUCAAGCAUAAUUUGAAUUUUAAAGUUCUUAUUUCAUUGUUUUGCUAUUUGGUUUUAUGAGCUAAAUAUGUUAAUCAAUCUUUUUAUUCUUGUUUGUAGAGAUGCUAAAUGUUAUUCUCAACGAGCUUACAGAAAUAAAAGUUCUUUUAAAAGAAGUUAUAGAAAUUAAGUUUCAGGCUACUGGGGUGAAGUUGCUAGAAUCAGUGGACGAAGUGGUUACACUGGAUAAUAAACUAAAAGAUAAAACCGACUUGAUAGUUUGAAAAAGAUUGGUGGUGGAAAGCCAAGAGAACAUGUUUUUUUGAUCAUGAAAAGGUUAUUUUCGAAUCAGUUACAGUCCAAAUUUAAUCGAAAAGGAAAUGGGGAAAAGAUAAGCAUA